AGCAAUCGGUGAUGAAAUAUGAUCCCAAAUUUAUGAUAUUUGAGUGAUUAAUGUAUCAAAUAAUCACCAUCUUUCGGCUGAGAUUGCA